rnacentral:lncRNA from 1 species
CAGACCAGCUCUCUUUGACCAGCAUGUGGUGAACGCCAUGGUAUCUGAUAUUGAAAAGGUUGACUUAAAUAGUAUUGGAUCUCAGGCUCUUCUUACCAUAUCCAACAGCACAGACACAGAAUCCGACAUCUACAGUGAAUAUGACUCUAUCACUGUGUUCCAAGAGCUGAAGGAUCUCCUUAAGAAGAAUGCGACAGUGGAAGCUUUUAUUGAAUGGUUGGAUACUGUGGUAGAACAGAGAGUUAUUAAGGUAUUAUUUUUAUGAACAAUUCAGAAAAUACUUUUAAGAGAAAAGUGUUAACCUGGAUGUAAUCUUUUGACGGCUGUGGAAAGGUUCAGACAGUGCAUUUUAAACCAUGUUUUGUGUAUCUGUGAUAGCAAGAAAAUGGGGCCGACCUAGAUGGCCAUUGAGAAAUGAAUAGGUAGUAAAAAUGUGGUACAUAUAGAGAGUGGAAUUUUUUUCCAUCUGUAAAGGAAAAUGAAAUUUGUUGUAAAAUGGGUGGAUUUGGAAGGCAUGG